rnacentral:lncRNA from 1 species
AUCAACUGUUUUCCACUUCCUGUAGUCUGACACCUGCUAGUGAAUAACUCCGGGGAUAAUUUUGAACCUGAUACAGAUUCCCAAAAUACUUCUGUUCAAGAGUGCAACUGGAGACUUUUUGAGACUGGGCUAUUCUGGACAGGACUGUCUGACUGUGGAUCUAAGGGAAUUGGACCUCUUUGAUGAAGUGGACUAUUUAUGGCGGGGAAAUAUCCUCUCAGCUCGCGCUGUGCUGACAGCCUCAGAUGAAUCACCCUCGUUUAUUCUGCUGAUGCUGCAGGUAUACGAGAGCCAGGAAUUUAAUAUGCGGCUGUGGGAGAGAAGAGCUACGGGUGCUAGAGAGGAUAAAUAAUUGAAAGGUCACACAGAGUGGCUGAACUGCUAUACGUGAGCUAUAUGAGGAGCUCAUUGUGUGUCUGUGUGUGUGUGUGGUUUCUUGCUGCAUACAUGGGGACUCAGAUAAGAUGAGGUUUAUUAGGCAUGUGUGGAUUGU